UUCUUUCUUUAAAAAAAAUUGCAUCAGGAUAUGUAUGCAUAUUAGGUUAAAAACAAAGGAAAAUUGUAUGUAUCCAUGUUUUCUGCAAAAGACUUGAUCAUUUUAGUUGAUGUAAGGCUUUACUCUUCUGUUCACAAUGAAGAAUCUAGUAUUUAUUUUAAAAAUAAUAUAUCUAUAAUAUUUGGAGUUACUUUAAGAAUCUAAUUGAGAAUCUUGUGUUGUGUGGAUUUGGUUUGUUUAUUUUUAUUGGAUUGAGGGAACAUGCAAAACCUUUUCUGUAUUUGUCAUUUAGUUUUGUGAAUUUAAUCCACAUCACACUAGCAAUGAAAUUUAUAUAGAUAGAGAUCGAAGAACACGAAGAUAUACUUGGUUAUGUGAAGAGAAACACUCAAAACCCUAGAUCCCCAAAUUAAACUGAAUCUCUAGCUCAUUUAAUAAACUUAAAUUGACUUUGAAGUAUUAGUAAUCAACUCAUUUCGUACGGUUUAUUAUAAAAUUGAAUAAAUACGAUUAUAAAAAUUAAAAUUAAAAUCACUCCAUCCACCCCAAUAUGAUAAGCUGUAAAUAGUCACAGACACCAGAGGCGAAUGAACAUGCAGACAGACACCAGAGGCGAAUGAACAAGAAGGCCGGGGCAGC
rnacentral:lncRNA from 1 species